UACAUGUUCCCUAGUAUGGCCUGUACCGCAUAGGUCUCCUGAACCUUGGAACUCUUCUGCACACAAGAUUAUUAAGGUUAGUACUUCCAACAAAACGAAUGAUCACAUCUCCCCCAUAGAUGCAGCUGGUCAUAAUUAAUAAAUGAAUUGCUGGAAAUAUGGAAAACUAAUAUAAUGCUACAGAAGGUAAUCUAUAGCACAAAAUGCACCAAAUGAAACCAUAAACAUGGUGGAAAGUAAACAAUAUUAUAAUAAAAGAUCCUCUGUUGAAAAGCAAGCCAUGGUUUGAAAACCAGGCCUCAAUCCCUAAUUAGCCGGGGUUGGCUAUAUUCCACGCAAUCCUUAACUUGAUGUUCUAUGAAGAAAUUAAAUUUUCUUUUGAGGCAGAGGAGGUUACUUUCAAAGGUUGCUAGACAGAUGACAUCCACCACUUUUAAUAUUGGAACAUUACAACCAUGUCUAGGUGGGGAACUGUAGAGUUUCUACCUAAUCCAACCAUUAGUGGAAAGGACUCCUGCUAACUAGUGAACAGCUGUAGUGGCCAACCUAGCAGCUAGACUUCUCAUCUCUCAAUGCUUGUAAAGAGGUCACAUUUGAGCAGUCAACCAUCUCAAAUGUAUGAAGAGAAAAAAUUGCAACAAUAAAAAAAAAAAUCAUAAAAGAGAACUAUGGUAUAUAUCACAAAGUAAACGAAUAAAAUUUUCUAAUCUUCGAUCAAAGGACACAUGAUUUAGCAUCCGCUUAAGGUGAGCAAGGAUUUGUUAUACUAAACAACCUAAUUGUAUUAAUUAAUCACUUCAUAGGUCCAAUAACACAGUUUGUAACUUCAUAACAAUUAACAUUAAUAUCUGCUGCCUGAAAAAAUCCAAAACUAAUACCCCUGCAAGGAAGAUGACAGAAUGAAAAAGUGGACUGAGCAGCAUAUAACUUGUUAGAGAAGGUAUGAAGAAAAGGACACUGUUUAAAACCUCCUACCCUUUUAUUGGGUCAAAUACAUCUUAAAUCUCAUAAUGCUGUACUGCUAGAAAAUAAUCAAAUAUUUAAUUCUGAGAAGAAAAGGUUACAAUGAAAGGAAUAUCAACUAGUUCAAAUAUCAAAGAAUUAUCUGGUGGAAGAACAGUCAAGACAUGAAAUAUGAUUAUAAAGACAA